CGCGGGCGGAGGGCGGGGAGGGGGCAGGGAGCGGGCGCGGAGCCUCCUCCCGGGUUGCUCUUCCCCGGCCGGACGGAGAGCGGCACUGUGUCCCCGCGGCGCACGCUCCACGGAGCCUCCCCCUCUCCCCGGCCGCCGCCACCGAGCAGCUCCGCGGUCCCUGCCCCGCCCGAGCGCAGCCGCCGCCGCAGGAAGCGAGCGAGCCGAGGGCAGCGGCACGACGAGAGGAGGGAGCAUCUACUUCUAUUGACAUCUAAUUUAUAUGUUCGACAGUAUGGUUUCCUGAUAGAAGAGUGCAUUAUAUUUUUUAACAGCAAAAUCUUUAUUAAAUGUGCCAUCAGUGCUGGUUUUGAAAAGAUGAAAAGGGACCCACUGUGGGGCAACUCAGUGAAGCUCAAACUCCCUUACCUAGGUGUCUCUCACCUGCAUUGAAGGAAAGGACUUCAGCAGUUUAAAUGUGAUUCCCAGAUGUGAUUGCCCUUUGGCUGGAAACUAUCUUUAGUGCAGGUGGUGGAGAGAAAUAUUAUUUUCUGGUAUAGCGGUACAAACCUUGUUUGUUAAUAGCUGAAGUAAUAGCAUGAAGUUGUCAUGCUCCAGAGUUAAUGUUUUUCUUCAAAUGUGUUCAGGCUGAACCCUGUAAGCAUACUACAAGUAUCAACACUUGUUUAAAUUGAAUUGCUGAUCAUUUUGUUUUACAAACAGUUUUUAUAAGGUUUUAAGUAUUGGCUUCGGCCUGAUGUUGUGAGCAGAAUAUUUCCAUGCAAAAUGGUCAGCAUCUUCCCUUCUCUCCUGAAUUGCUGCUCUCUGCAAUAGCAAACCAGAAGGUGGUGGGCCUCUAGACCAGGAUUAAGUUUUUUUCAUAAAACAUUUCAUAGUCAUUGUCUUUCA
rnacentral:lncRNA from 1 species